AGUGAACGCUGGCGGCGGGCCUAACACAUGCAAGUCGAACGGAAGCACAGUAAGAGUUUGCUUUUAAGGGUGGCGAGGGGCGGGCGGGUGAGGCGUACAUCGGCAUCUUCUUUUUCGGGGGGGAUAACGGAGGGAAGGAUCUGCUAAUAGCGAAUACGUCCUACGGGUGGGAGCAGGGGAUAUUUGGAGCUUUUGCGUCUUACUGAGCCGAUGUCGAGUUAGUUAGUUGGUUGGGUAAAGGACCACCAUGGCGACGAUACGUAGCCGGCCUGAGAGGAUGAGCAGCCACACUGGAACUGAGACACGGUCCAGACUCCUACGGGAGGCAGCAGUAGGGAAUCUUCGGCAAUGGGCGAAAGCCUGAUCCAGCCAUGCCGCGUGGGUGAAGAAGGCCUUCGGGUUGUAAAGCCCUUUUGUUGGGGAAGAAAAGCUGUAUGAUAAAACGCCGCUAUUCUGACGGUACCCAAACAAAAAGCACCGGCUAACUACGUG
rnacentral:rRNA from 1 species